rnacentral:lncRNA from 1 species
AGUGCAGUGGAAGGGACACAGGCUUCAGCAGCCCCAGAUUGGAUCUCCUGCCUAGACCCCUAUUGAAGAGUGACCUUGGGAACCCUGAUGUUGGCCAUGAGACCUUGCACAUUUAAAAUGAUGCUGAGAGUGAAGGAGAAUGAUAAGUGAACUCAGGAAGACAUGAUGGCUUCUGCAAUGACACUCAUAGAUGAAAUACAGAAUCCAGCUCCAACUCUUAGGAUUGGAAACUAAGCACAAACAAGUAAGCAAGAAAAAUGAGCGCUUCCUCACAUGUCUGGAAGGUUCCUGGCCUAGACUCAGCACCAAGAAAAGAGCGAGAGAAAAUGUCCCUGGCGCCCCAGGUGCAUGCCCUUUUCCAGACUCAAAGAAAUCUGCAGGCAUUAAUCUUCACAGUCCUCUCUGGUGGAAGACUGCAAGGGCAAGCCAGAGCUGAGCUGGAAUGAAAAGAUUCUGCCUGGGUGAAGUUCCUACGAAUACCUUUCCCACAAAUUGCAUCCUUUCCUCAAACUGUCUGGAUCAUUUUGUAACCCAAGUGGCUUUCAUCAAAACAAGGGCCUGCCACCAGGUGCUGACCAUUUAUUGACCCGUGAUGGAGCUGCACCUCCUCACUCUCCUCUGGGCCUCUGUGCCAACCUCUGUAGCCAGUGAAUGAUGGUGUCAUUUUCCAAGACAAAGAAGGUAAGAAAAAGAGCUGAUUUGCGGGAUGAGAUGGAGGAUGAAGAAAAAAUAUCAAUGUCUGUGAGGUAUCCAAACAGAGUAGGCUCAGCAGCUCCGGCAAGAGCUCUGGGCUGAGAAGGGAACGGAUUCUGCUGUACAGCAAAGCUGGCUCAAGUCCGGGGAGUGAAUUAAGAUCAGAGAGAGAGAGAGAGACUAUUCACACUGUAAAGAGAAGAGGGAUAAUUUCAGGUUCUUAACGAUGGCCAACACUUCACAAUCCAUCCCUUUCAUUUUUCUCUUCUGUUUUCAAGCUGGUUUGCAUCAAAAUGGUAAUUCUCUCCUUUUAGGAUUUUAAUGCCAGCUGCAGAGAAUUCUGUGUUUCUGUUUAUAAUUGUUUAAAGAUCUGAUUUUGAGAAUAGUAUCUUCAACAACUGUUUGCAACCACUUUGGAGAUCUGGUUGGAACAUAGUUUUUCUCUGUUAAAGCGAUUGUCUAUGGAGCAUCGCAGUCUCCUGAUAACUGGCACAUGGGUCUCCCACUCUACUCUGUCCUGUGGUAGGGAAGGGGCAGGAGGCUUUUCAUGACCUUCGAACCUAAAGGCAAGCAUACCUUUUGCUGCACCCAUAGCCUGUGGAAGUUCCUGAGCCACGGAUCAAACCCCACGCCAGCAACCCAGGCUGCUGCUGUGACAGUGCCAGAUCCUUAACCCACUGCACCACAAGAGAAUUCCUAUCAACUCUUAUACUUUCUAUGUUACAGGAUAAAUGGUCCCCUGGUCUGUUACAGAACAUUUAUUAAAGUUUUGACAUCCCAAACACCAAUUGAUAAUAUUUUUGUGCAUAGGCUUAUGUUUCUUUAAAAACCAUUUUCUUAGGACAGUGACAAAAUCCCCAAAGUUAUAUAAGGUAGAAAAAAGUGAUGUGAUCUUGAAAAGUAAUGAAAUAAAAUUGCUUCAGUGUUUAUCACUAUUGUGAUAAAAUGGUUACAUAAGACUUGAGAGUAUUUUUCCAUUUAUCACAGCACAUCCAUAAAUUUAUUCAUCAAACACUAGUGUUCCACGGCACGCGGUAUGAGAACCAUACCAUUGCGAUGUUUUGAUUGUCCACAAUUCCGUGUUCACCAUGUGGGACUCUGAUAUCAUUAAAUUUAAAAGGCAAUUGCAGAAAAGUAGAGAGGUGACCUCAGAAAGCUGGUUAGCCCUGUCCUUCAGAACUACUGGCCUUGUCCUUAGCACCCUUGGAGAAAGCAGGGCUCUGGAAGGCUAUGGACAGACCUUGCAAAGACUGCAAAAUAGGAGGCAGCUGGGCAGUGCUCUGGCAGCAGCUGCAGCAGUUAGAGUUGUAAGAGCGGUCAUUAGAUAGGCCACCCAGAAGGCAGAGUAGCCAAGCCACUGAUUGCAACCAGCCUAGUUUGCAACAGGGCCCACCGCCAUAUCACAGAUGUGAGGGGUGGAGGAGGCAGGUGCCACGUCCUGGCCUCAUCUCCCGCCGUGCUUGCAGAUGCCAGCGGCAGCAGCCAUGUUGCAGAACUGUGUUACUCUCCCUCUCUGAGAACAUGUGAAUGUGUGUAAUAUAUUGUUAAAGGAUAUCUUUUUAAAAGGGUAAAAUCUUGCUGUCCUACAGAUAUAAAAUGAACAUAUGUUUAAAUAUUGUGUUUAAAUCAAUAUAUGAGUGAACCAAUAAGACGUUAUGACUGGUUUAAAGAAUUCCAAGAAGCACACGGAAGUAGAGAUAAGGACUUUAGAAAUGCAUUUACUAAGAGAUGCAAGAUGUGUCCGCCCACUGUGCAAUAAUCAGUUAAUUUGCAUUUCUAUGGAUAUGAAUAAUUUGUAUUAUUGUCUGUGUUCUCCAAUUCACAGGGUUAUAAAAUAGCUCAAAGACAAUGAAAGAUAGAGAGAAUGCCGAAGGGUGAGUUGCUUAGAAUAUUUUCCAGUUCAUAGUAAGUUCAAUGUAAGUUUUAGUGAUAUUUAUUAUUACAAUAAUAGUGUAUUUAGAAUCAGACAGGCUUGGGUUUGAAUCUCAUCUCAGGCACUCACUAAUUGGGUGACCUUGGGCAAGGAAGUUCAUCUUUCUUAGCCCAGUUUUCUUAUCAGUGUGCCAUUAUUUGGGACUAGUGAGGAGUAACUGGAAUAUUGUUUGUAAAAUACUCCAUAGGGGGAUUAGCACAGAGUAAACAUUCAAUAGUGGUAGCAUUAUUUUUAUUACCAAAAUUGGCAAUUUUAAUAAUGCUGAAACUUCUGUUUAUAUCACUAGCCAUUGCUGUUUUCAUUAUUGGUGUAAUCAGCUAAAAUUUUUUUCUGAUAUAAUGUUUUAAAUCAUAAAUAGAUA